ensembl:lncRNA
AUGUUGAUUAUUCAAUUAACUAACCGAACUGGUAAAGGAGACGCCAGUCUGUCCAUCUGGGGAUGGGGGGGUCUUGGAGUUGUGCUGUUUUUUGUCACCUUUGGACCUUUCGCCAUAUUUUACCUGGCAUUUUAUAUCUUCUGCUUCAUUGGAGGGGGAUUUGCGGUUACAUUGCUUUACGGGAAGAUAAACUCAGAGAAACACUUGGAAAAGUGCGAACAUUCAUACCUGCCACCUACACAACCCGGUAUUCUGAAGACACUUGAUGAGAUGAAGCUGGAGCUGAAGCCUAUAAAGAUUGACAGGAGACUGACUGGCUCCAGUUUCAUUGAUGAGCCACUACAGCAGGUGAUCCAGUUUGCACUGAGAGACUAUAUUCAGUACUGGUACUACACUCUGAGUGAAGAUGAGUCGUUCCUGUUGGAGAUCAGACAAACACUGCAGAAUGCCCUCAUCCAGUUCUCCACACGCUCAAAAGAAGUGGACUGGCAGCCUUACUUCACUACACGCCUGGUGGACGACUUUGCCACACAUCUACGUGUCUUCAGAAAAGCGCAGGAUCGCCUGGCUGAGCGGGAGGACAAGCAAAGGGACACCACAGAAGAGCUGGUCGACUCCUUCUUCGAGGCAGAGGUGGAGAUGGAGAGGAAGGUUUGUCGAGACAUGGUGUGCACCUCACACAAAGAUGAAGAAGGUUUUCUUCGGGACUUGUGCGAGUUGCUUCUCUAUCUUUUACUACCUCCCGGAGACUUCCACAACAAAAACAUGAGAUAUUUUUUGAGGGAAGUUCUAGCGUGUGGUGUGCUGCUGCCUCUGAUCAACCAGCUAAGCGACCCAGAUUACAUCAACCAGUUUGUCAUCUGGAUGAUUCGGGACUCCAGCUGUAACUAUGAAGCCUUCAUGAACAUUUUGAAGUUAACAGACAAGCCUACUGAGUUGGAGGCAGUUAAAGACAAGGUUCUGGAGGAGCUGCAGUACUUGCGCUCUCUGGACACUGCUGGAGAUGACUUUAUGCAGGCGGCGGGUGCUCAGGCGGAGCUGUUCUUCUGGCUCACUGUUGAGGGCUACAGGGUGACGGCCCAGCAGCAGCUGGAGGCCAUGCUGAGCUGCCAGAAAGACGGCAAGAAGCAGCCCAGCGCCACAAAGGGGCUGCUGAAAGCUGCUGCUCUAGGUGUUUAUGAACAAUACCUCUCUGAAAAGGCAUCUCCCAGGGUCCAAGUUGACAAAACAUUAAUAACAAAACUGGGGGAGAAGCUCCAAAAUGAUGACCCCACACCUGAAAUCUUUGAUGAAAUCCAGAGAAAGGUGUACGACAUGAUGCUACGUGAUGAGCGCUUUUACCCAGCCUUCAAGCAGAGCCCUCUGUACGUACGCAUGCUGGCAGAGCUGGACAUGCUGAAGGAGCCGAGCUACAGAGGAUCUGAUGACGGCGAGGGAGAAUCCUUUAACGGCUCACCCACUGGAAGCUUAAACCUGGUUAGUUGUCAACUCACCCUAAUUUUUUUUUAUACUGUGGAUGACAACAUCCCACUACGGGUGAUGCUGCUGCUGAUGGAUGAGGUGUUUGACCUCAAAGAGAAGAACCAGUGGCUGCGCCGGAACAUCAAGAACCUUCUGCAGCAGCUGAUUAGAGCCACUUAUGGAGACACUAUCAACAGGAAAAUUGUAGAUCAUGUAGACUACUUGACGUCACCAGAACAGGUGGCAGAAUAUGUGAAGAAGUUCAGGGACUCCUACUGGCCCAAUGGCAUUCUGGCUGAGAGCCCGCCCCGUCGGGACAAGAGCAUCCGCAUGAGGACGCGAGUGGCAGCAAAGACCAGCUUGUUGGGUAUCAUGCCAGAUGAACUGAAACACAUCAUUGGAGCAGAGACCACCAGAAAGGGGAUCCUCCGCGUCUUCGACAUGUUCCAGUACCAGCCCAUGAACCGGCGGCUGGUGUACGUGUUCCUGGAGGGCUUCCUGGAGACCAUGUUUCCGCAGUACAAAUUCCCCGAGCUCUUCGUGAAGCUGCAUUCCCGUUCUCCGCGCAUCCACAGAUACAACCAGAAACUCAAAUGCUCUUCUGCGAAGAGUCUUCAGUUUUUAUAG